rnacentral:tRNA from 1 species
GCCAAGGUAGCUCAGUCUGGUAGAGCGACGGACUGAAAAUCCGUGCGUCGGCGGUUCAAUUCCGCCCCUUGGCA